CAGCCAGCACUGGCCGGUAACCGGAAUAGCGAGUGGCCGUACUUCAGGGUGAGUUUUGUGCAGUAAACAUAUAGCUAGCAUUCCGUGCCAAGCCAAAUGGCCGGUAUAUCGAGGUGGCCGUACUUCAGGGAGCCGGAAUAGCGAGAGUCUACUGUAAUUACAUAGGAAAGGGAUUGGAAACGCAUCACGUGCACCAAUGUUUUCAACAGAAGUUUGGAUGGUACGAUCCUACUUACGAUUUUUAAUGUUAUUCAUUGUUAGUCAAAAGGUCAUUUGUUGUUUUUUGAGCUAUAUUUUUGGACUUUAAGAUCAUUCUUUCAGCGUUCAAGCCAAUCAAGUAAGCUGUUUGGGUACAUAAAAACAUAAGCUUUCCAAUGGUAGUGGUCCCAUAAAGUUUGGAUGGUGUAUUGCACACCAAAAAGUGUUUUUCAACCUUGAAAGUUAGGGAUGUGAAGCAAAAAUCUCGUAAGAAAAAGUGCAAGUCCUCCUCAACCAGAUCCCACUCUCUCUCAACAAAACAAAAGCAUCUAGGAAGACAUGAAUUCAACAAUGUCAUCCAUAAGACACGUAGUAACCUCACCUCAUAUUAAUUAAGUAUACAUGUACGUGUUUAUUUUUGCUUGUGUGUAUACACUGUUUUUGUUUUUAAUUCUCUCUGCAACCACUUUAAUAUUAUAAUUAUGACAUUC